UGUUUGUGGCGGGUAGAUUUUUUAAAAUAAAUAUGGCGGAUAUUCGUUCUGGAAUGCAGUCGGAAAGCAGCUGCGACAGCUCUGCUGAACACCAGAAGAAGCUAUAUGCAGGUCAAUCAGCCAAUCCCUACCAGAGGAGGAGAGGCAAGAGAAACUGAUGGAGGCUUCUAUGGCGCUGGCAGUCAAGAAGUUACAAGACUCACUGAGCACGACACCCAAAGGCACUUUAGAGUCACUUCAGACACAAGUGGAGGCUGUACAGAAGGAGUGGUGUUGCCUGGCCAAAGACCUACGCAAUGAGCCGCAGUGUCAGCAACCUCCCACUAGCACAGCCAGGACAAUGACCCAACACACCUCCAGGCUGUGUAAGGGCUAUUUGACCAAGAAGGAGAGUGAUGGAGUGCUGCAUCAGAUGACCUGGCCUCCACAAUCACCCGAUUUGAGAUGGUUUAGGAUGAGUUGAACCACAGAGGGGAGGAUAAGUAGCCUAGCAAGUCCUCAGCAUGUGUGCAAAGCCCUUCAAGACUGUUGGAAAAGCAUUCCAGGUGAAGCUGGAUGUGAGGAUGCCAAGAGUGCGCAAAGCUGUCACUGCAAAGGGCGGCUACUUUGAAGAAUGCAAUUGGAGCAGUGCCUGGAGAAUGGGGUGAUGUUAGACCCUAGCUGCCUGGCCCAGUCCUCACAGAGCCAGCUCAUCCAGAACAAACCUGAUUACCACAGCGUGCUCCGCAGACAGCGGUCUGUGCUGUCCACUGUGGAACUGGUGGUAAUACGGACAAACUUGUAUUAUUCCACUUGGAUGGUUUCUUGAACCGUUUAGUCCUAGACUAAAAGCAAGCUCAAUGGAUAAUCUCUGUCGUAAUAGCCUUCAGAUGGACACCCAGUGUAAGAUGGUCAGGGAGCUGCAAUCCAGACAGGAACAGGCUCAGCUACUGGUGAAUGAGACAAGCAGCAGAUUGGCGGCUGAUGUGGGAUUCCAGUAUCUCUCCUCUGACCUAGUCAGAGAUCUACUGGCAGGACCCGUAUCCUCUAUCAACCAACACAUCAUCCACCGUAUAAUUCUAGUACCUCUGUUUUAGGGUUAUCGCAAUACAGUAUCAUGGUACAACCAAACUAGAUUUUUCAUGGCAAAAAAAGAUAACUAAGCAAACUGAAUUCUGGCUUUGUACAAGCAAGACACGGCACACCUUUUAAUAGCACAGACUCUAUUGUGACCUUUGGUGUCAUCCAGGUUCACUCAAUGAAUGACCUAUGAGAAAGCUCAGUCUGGCUUUUUCUGUAUACAUGUAAUGUCUUAACUCUACCCAUGGCUCCCUAAUUUAUCUGUUCUCUGUGGUGGCUUGUGGUUGUUUGUAAAUAAGUCUCUGGUAUCUUUCUUCACGGGAUGAAUGUGGAUUAUUUCAGCAAACUUUCUAUCUAUUCUAUUCCACCACUAUACUAUUUGGGUCCUCCCAAAUGGCACCCCAUUCCUUUUAUAGUGCCCUACUUUUGUCCAGAGUGCUAUGGGUCCUGACAGAUACCGGUCUCCCUACGAAACGUAUGCUGUUGGCCACCAGAGGGCGAUCUCAUCCUUUAUUUAAAUAGCUAAUGAAUAUUCACCUACAGUAAAAGAUGUAGAGAAAAAUAUGAACUUGCAGUGGAUGAAUUUUGGGGGUUUGUUUUGUAAGAUACCUGCUUUUCUUAAUUUUCCUGUACAUUCUUGUCUGUUCUUGUAAAAAAAAAAAAAAAAAAAGUUUGCUAAUUUUUUAAAAUUAUUAUUAAACAGUAAUUCUGAAUUUGUCUUGCAUUUUCUGACCAUUGAAUCAGUUAAGACCAGGUCCAAUCCUGUGUUUGUUUUUAACCCUUCAUAAACAAGGAAAUGUGAAACCAUUAUUCCAUCCCAACUCCUUUGAAACAUCUCUUGGUUUCAGUGUGUAACAAGGGGAAGAAUUCUCUGUACACACACCUUGAUAGUUCUCUCAACACACCCUUGUAUAAUACUUUACUCCCUGACCCUUUCUUAUCCCUCAAUCUUUUCUGUUUUGUCCAGAGAUUGUCCUCUUUUUCUCUCCUCCAGCACUUGUGUCUUCU